CCUAUAAAUCUACUUUUAUUCAUAGAUUUUAACUGAUAUAACGUUAAAUGCCAUCAAAGAGGAGUAGUGUUUUGUAUUUUUGUAGGUUUUCUCUUUCAAUUUAAUAAAUAAAUGCUCUGUUUGGUUAAUUAGCUCAAAAUCAGUCUCAGAGGUGGUCUAAGGUAACGGUAACUGUUAAAAUCGAAUAUAACCUUACCUGUUUUAAAUUAUUUGAAAUUUAUCACUAUAAACUAUACAGUAUUAACUUUCUAAUAAUUAAAUUUUUAACCGUAGUAACGUUAAUUAGUUUGUUUGAAUACCUGCUGCUCGAGCUUGAUGAUGCUCAUGCUAUCCAUGCUGUGAACUUGAAUAUAAACCGAUAUAACGUUAAAUAUAAAGUUUAACGUUAAGUAGACCGAGGCUGCCGAAAUCAUGUUCAGUGUAACGUUAUGUGGGAUUAAUAAUUUCCCCUUUUCUCCCUCAAGUGGCAGGCUUGUAAAUUCUGUCAUCUGUUCAUUAUUGGUGUUGAUGGUGUUUUUCACAUGCAUGCUUUUUAAUGCUAGUUUAAUUCUCAAAUUGAUCUGAUACUUUCGUUCCACAAAAAGUAAACAAAUUGUUCACUUUCUUAGGGCCUGACAACCACCAGUUGAGUCCAUGAUUCAGGGAAGAGACAGUCUGGGCAGCAGCAACAAGACAACUAUUACAAGUAGAGAUGGGUUUCAAGAACUGGUACUAAUUUGGUUCCUGACUUGUUCGACACAACCACAUAUCCUCCAAAUCAUCUCUGCGUGGAUGGCAGCAAGGAUCCAGGAUCAAGAGAUCAUUCUUCAUGGAAGCAGUUUCUCCUGGGUGAAAAACUAAACCUGGUUGUUUCAGCAUCACUCAGGCAAG